UACGUAGGGUGCGAGCGUUAAUCGGAAUUACUGGGCGUAAAGCGCGCGUAGGCGGCUUUGCAAGUCGGGUGUGAAAUCCCCAGGCUUAACCUGGGAACUGCAUUCGAGACUGCAUUGCUAGAGUAUGGGAGAGGGAAGUGGAAUUUCCGGUGUAGCGGUGAAAUGCGUAGAUAUCAAGAGGAACACCUGAGGUGAAGACGGGUUGCUGGGCUGACACUGACGCUGAGGCGCGAAAGCCAGGGGAGCAAACGGG
rnacentral:rRNA from 1 species